rnacentral:rRNA from 1 species
UGGGGAAUAUUGCACAAUGGAGGGAACUCUGAUGCAGCGACGCCGCGUGAACGAAGAAGGCUUUCGAGUCGUAAAGUUCUUUUAUAUGGGAAGAUAAUGACGGUACCAUAAGAAGAAGCCCCGGCUAACUACGUGCCAGCAGCCGCGGUAAUACGUAGGGGGCUAGCGUUGUCCGGAAUCACUGGGCGUAAAGGGUUCGCAGGCGGAAAUGUAAGUCAGGUGUAAAAGGCAGUAGCUUAACUACUGUAAGCAUUUGAAACUGCAUAUCUUGAGAAGAGUAGAGGUAAGUGGAAUUUUUAGUGUAGCGGUGAAAUGCGUAGAUAUUAAAAAGAAUACCGGUGGCGAAGGCGACUUACUGGGCUCAUUCUGACGCUGAGGAACGAAAGCGUGGGUAGCAAACAGG